CAGAUAGCCCCUGGAGACUGAAGUCCAUUCUUUCUUCACAGAAUAGAUACAAGAUGAGUUUCCUUACAUUGCCCUGCCAACUGGUAUUUCAGCAUGACCAUGGAGGGAUCAUCCAUCAAGGUCAGAGGGUCGUUCACUUUCCAGGGUCAAAUGGUAGUUCACUCUCCAAGGUCAUUCAAUUCUUCACCUCU
rnacentral:sRNA from 1 species